rnacentral:lncRNA from 1 species
UUCAAGAUAGAGAGAGUUGUGAAGGGCGGAUUUAUUAAUUUUGUUGUUUAUUUUUUAAAAAAAGUUACUGUUGUGGGGUAAAUUUGUAAAUAUUACUACAAGGCAAAGGGUAAUUUUAUCAUCUCCAUAAGGGGCAAAAUUGAAAUUUUAACUAAAAGACAAUGGCACUCUACAAAUAAUGUUCCAAGACACUACCAAAAUGCCAUUGUACUUUUGUGAAAGUUUCAAAUUUGCCUUUGCUUAAUGGUAACGUUGCCUAUUUAAAUAAAUUUUUAAUAAAAAAGUAAUGAUUGUUUU